rnacentral:rRNA from 1 species
GAUGAACGCUAGCUACAGGCUUAACACAUGCCAGUCGAGGGGCAGCAUGAACUUAGCUUGCUAAGUUUGAUGGCGACCGGCGCACGGGUGAGUAACACGUAUCCAACCUGCCGAUGACUCGGGGAUAGCCUUUCGAAAGAAAGAUUAAUACCCGAUGGCAUAGUUCUUCCGCAUGGUAGAACUAUUAAAGAAUUUCGGUCAUCGAUGGGGAUGCGUUCCAUUAGGUUGUUGGCGGGGUAACGGCCCACCAAGCCUUCGAUGGAUAGGGGUUCUGAGAGGAAGGUACCCCACAUUGGAACUGAGACACGGUCCAAACUCCUACGGGAGGCAGCAGUGAGGAAUAGUGGUCAAUGGACGAGAGUCUGAACCAGCCAAGUAGCGUGAAGGAUGACUGCCCUAUGGGUUGUAAACUUCUUUUAUACGGGAAUAAAGUGUGGCACGUGUGCCUUUUUGUAUGUACCGUAUGAAUAAGGAUCGGCUAACUCCGUG